UCAAUUCCUUUUACCCUUUCGGAUUUUAAGUUGGAUGUCUUUGGAAAUGGAGAGGAUGCACAUGAAGUCCAGUCUGCUGCCAAAAAGUUAGAUCUGAACCUCAAAUUUCAGAAGGGGAGGGACCA